GUCUCCAGUCACACUACUCUAAAUGUACCCAGUUUCAUCUGAUCUUGGAAGCUAAGCAGGGGCAGGUCUAGCCAGUACUUGGACAGAAUGUUAUGUUGCAUGGUCAUUGUUGAAGAGU
rnacentral:rRNA from 1 species